CAUGGUUCGGGUGUUAUUCCCCAUUUGGUAAGGAAACGGUACAAUAAUCGGUCUCAUCGACCUAGGUAAUAAAGUUUGCUUUAUGUUUAAACUUGUACUGUACUCGGGUGUAAUUCUACCGUCCUAGUCAAUGUCCUCCCGUAAAUAGGUGUCGGUCGCAAUGGUUUCUCGUUGCAUACGUGUUGCUUUCGUUAUUAUUACCCUUUAUUUUCAGAUAAAGGGGAGAAAAAAAAAGAAAAAAAAGGAUGCAGCGGCUUGCCUUAAUACGUCAGUACGUGCUCCUCCACCGAAAACCUGCAACCGCGGGUAACACACUCCACAGUCAACCUCCCUAAAUGCCCCCCGAGUCGAGGUAGGCUUUUACUCAAGCAUAUUAUCUCUCUCUCCUUCGAAGAAGGAGGUGCGAGUAUAUAUAGGAUGAUGGUGUCACGUCAAGCACGGCCUGCUCUUUCCUCCUGCCUCCCUCUCCGUUAACCCAACGACUUAGACUUUUGUUAGACUAUGCGGGUUUGGGACUGACGAGUUUAAGGAGGCAUGUCAGGAGUGGUGCUUAAACUCGUUGAAGCCACGUUUAAGAGGCUCUGUACCCGCUUUAAGGUCUUGGUCUCCAAGGGUUCGGGUGCGGCCUCGGUAGCAGCACCGAGUCGGACUCUCAGAAGAUGGACGCCGACUCGUCCACGCUCGACCUGCUCUGGUACGACCUGUGGGACUCGUAGUGGGUGCGGGGCGAGUGGAGGCUGUGGCAGGACCUUCACUUGCCGCUGUCCGGUUCUUCGUGGCUGUUGUUGCCGGUGCAGAGCACGGGGGAGGCGUCCCUGGCGCACCUGCGCCGCAGCGCGCUCCGGAGGAAGCAGUCGUGCCGCUGGCACUCCUACCGGCCCUCGCACGCGAAGCUCCAGGCGCAGCCGUCGCCGCUCUCCGAGGAGCACCCCUAGUACCUCUACACGCUGCACCGCCUCCUCUUUUUCUUCCCCACCCAGUACUUCACGGUCCAGCGCUACGUCGCCACGAGCCCCAAGGACUUUCCGCCGCCCCUCCUGCGCUUCAGCGGCUACCAGCUCCACAUGCAUCGCUCGGACAAGGCCCCGUCGGGCUAGCACAAGUGGUUCCGCUACUUCGACGCCGAGUCCUCCUGCGCGGUCCAGUUCCGCGGAAAGUACCUCGGGUAGGGGCUCACGCCGCUCGUGCGGCUGCUGCUGCGCUUUCUUUGCGGCGGACUGGUCUUCGUACUAGGUGUCCUUAGCCUCAUGUCCACGAUGUUCGGCCUUGGCCCGUACCUGCUGCAGCUGAUGCUGUCGAACAUGCGCUCUAGCCGACCGGACCUGGUACCGGACCUGCCGCUCCUGUCGCUCGAGAGCACCAAGUGGCGACCGCAGUCUCACCCGCACCCGUAGUCGGACCCGUAGAAGGAGCCCCAGCCGUAGCCGCGACCUGAGGACCGGGCAAGGAUGGUCAGGUGGAGGUCCUGAUACUCCGCCGCCGACUAGAGACCGGACGAGACUGAGACUUGCCAUCGUAAGGUUGUACAGUGUCUCGUUCCCGUGUCGUUGAGACGAAGAGCGGUCUGCACUGCGCGGACCUCUAAUGAGACGACCUACACAAACAUCUAGGAGAACGGACAAUGAUAUACAUUUGGACCCUUACCAAUAAGUUUUUGGCCCACUUUACCAAGCCAAAAAUGAAACCCAAACUAAUCAAGUCCAAAAUAACCCGGCUCAGAAAAAAUCAAACCAAAACCAAACCCAUACACCUCUUUGAUCAAACCCAUAUCAACCAAUACCCAAAUUUAUUAAACCAAUAAUCGCCGAUAUUUGAUACCCAAGUUUGGUCAAAGACCCGUAACCAAUACACGUUAUUGUUUGCUGCGUGGUUGUUACUCAUCAAAACUAGGCGCACGUGCGACGC
rnacentral:rRNA from 1 species